rnacentral:rRNA from 1 species
UACGGGGGGGAGCAAGCGUUGUUCGGAUUUACUGGGCGUAAAGGGCGCGUAGGCGGCGUGACAAGUCACUUGUGAAAUCUCAGGGCUCAACUCUGACAUUGCAGUCGAUACGGGCAGGCUAGAGUUCGGUAGGGGAGACUGGAAUUCCUGGUGUAGCGGUGAAAUGCGCAGAUAUCAGGAGGAACACCGGUGGCGAAGGCGGGUCUCUGGGCCGAUACUGACGCUGAGGUGCGAAAGCGUGGGGAGCAAACAGG